CAGUAGCCGCGGGAAAACGAGGGGGGCAAGCGUUGUUCGGAAUUAUUGGGCGUAAAGGGUGCGUAGGCGGUUUCUUAAGUCUGAUGUGAAAGCCCCCGGCUCAACCGGGGAGGGUCAUUGGAAACUGGGAAACUUGAGUGCAGAAGAGGAGAGUGGAAUUCCACGUGUAGCGGUGAAAUGCGUAGAGAUGUGGAGGAACACCAGUGGCGAAGGCGACUCUCUGGUCUGUAACUGACGCUGAGGAGCGAAAGCGUGGGGAGCGAACAGGAUUAGAUACCCCGGUAGUCCCUGUCUCUUAUAC
rnacentral:rRNA from 1 species